ensembl:snRNA U6 U6 spliceosomal RNA
GUGCUCACUUCGGCAACAUAUAUACUAAAAUUGGAACAACACAGAGAAGAUUAGCAUGGCCACUGCACAAGAAUGACAUGCAAAUUCAUGAAGUGUUCCAUAUUUUU